GCCCUGAGAGAUAGCUCAGUCAGUAGAGCACGAGACUUUUAAUCUCAGGGCUGUGGGUUCAAUCCCCAUGUUGGGCA